CAAAUACACUGAAAUGAAAUGGCAAAGGACAUAAUUCAAUAUGAAUGCCUGGGGUUGAGUCUCAGAACUGCAAAAUAUAAUAAUAACAAACAACAGUAAAUAAAUCCAUUCACAGAUGAGAAAAUGGGCCAUUUGAGGUUAACUUUCUUACUAACUUCUACGACUUGAAUAAGGUGGUAGGUCUUCUAGUCCAGAUCCAGUUCCAAAACCCACAGGCACCGGUUCUCUGGGUCCACACGAAGCUUUCCCACCCAGCAGGGCCACCCCAACCAACUCUGCCUGGUCCCCACAGAGGGGAGGUCGGCCCUCAGGGACACUGUACGAGGCUUGGGAGGGUCUGACACCUAGAAGGCCUGGACUACGGCAUGCUAACGUCAUAAAGGCCACGGGCCAACCUCGGGCUUAACGGCCCACCCUCGGGCUUACCAGCCCUCCCAAACCAGGUGGGGCCCCACAAACGCUUCCCUACCCAGUGCGGGGCGGAGAAGCGGGGUCCAUAUGGCAGGUGAAGACGAGAAUCCACUCUGGAGCCGGAUUUGCCUUCUGCAGAAUGCAGACUAGCUGAAUCAUCAGCCCCAUCGCCCAAGGCAGGCAAAACAAGUGGAAUUCUUCAAAGACCAUACCUGGAUGGGGAAAUCCUCGGGGAAGGCCGGGGAACCCUGGGACAUCUUCCGCGAGGUGCAGGCCCUACCAGGCCUCGGGAGGAGGCAGGCCAAGUCGAUGACACUCAUUCUCCUGCAUUCUGACGUUUCCAGCAUGAAGAAGGUGUCCCUGGCGCUUCCGGUCCCAGGGACGCCCAGCAGAUUCUGAAAUCCCAGGUGAAGGCAGAAUCGACAAGGCUUUCUUGGUUAUCCCUAGGCAGAACAUUCAAAGUGCUGGGCCGGAAGUUUCCUUUUUGGUGCCGGUUACAGAAAUUAAGUCUAUAAUUUGUAUUACAGUUCCCUGGCAGAAUCCACACAGGAGGUACAGUAUGAAGUUGUCAGAGUCUCAGGAAACAUUUCCUCCUCCUCGGAAAGAUUGGAUUUAACCAUGGGAACAGAUAUUUACUCUGAACUUCAACAGCUUUAAAGAAAUGUAGAAGAACCCCAAACAGGGCAAUGACACACAUGCUGGUGCCACAUGGCUGAAAUCCCAGAGCUCCCAGAGGCUCGGACAGAGGUUCAUAGUUUUGAGCCCAACCCUGGCAAUUCAAUAAUUUAGUGAACCUUGUCUCAAAAUAAAAAAUUUAAGGGGCCAGGGAUUUAGCUCAGUGGUGCUGCCACCUGCCUUGCAAGCCCAAGGUCCCGAGUUCGAUCCCAGGUACCAAAAAAAAAAUUUAAAAAGGGCUGAGAGAUACCUCAGUGCAAAGGCCCUGUAUUCAACCUUCAAUGCCAUAAACAAACAGUUAAAUAAAAUCUAUGGCUUUAUACCCCAAGAGAAAGCAAGCCUGCCAUAAUGGCCUAAGAGGGAGCAAAGAGAAGGUAUACAUAGGAAUUUUAUUUCUUCUGAAGUCAUCUCUGUCCUGUGAGGGUGUCUAGUACUGCUACCCUUUAGAAGCCACCCUUACUUCUGACCCCAGAAAAUUGAGAAUUAUUUCUAACAAUACAUGAUAACUGUCAUAAAAAAGUAUAUUUGAAGCUGGGCAUGGUGGCAAAGGGCUGUCAUGCUAGCACUUGGGAAGCUGAGACAGGAGGAUCACCGCAAGUUCAAGGCUAGCAUGGGCUACAUAGUGAGAUCAAGCCAGACUGUCUUACAGAGUGAGACCCUGUCUCAAAAGAAAAAAAAAAAAGGAAAUAUAUUAUGUGCAUACCUGUAGUCCUAGCUACUCAGGAGACUGAGGCAAGAGAAUAAUGAGUUCAAGGUCAGCCUGAGCAAUUUAUGGAAACUCAGUCUAAAUAUAUAUAUAUAUGUAUAAACACUGAGCUUUUGGUAUUCUUGGGUCAUGCAGAAACAAUAGUUUGUCUGUCUCUGACUGUUUCCCUGUGGCUGCCUUAUAUUACAAGACACUAUGACAAUUUAUGAAAGAUGGCUCACUGAUCAAUGUCUUUUCUUGCUAAGUGUGGGGGCACAAGUCUGUAAUCCCAGCAUGAGGAUCCCCACAAGUUCAAGGCCAGCCUAGACUACAUAGUAAGACCACCCUAUCUCAAAGAAUUGAGGUUUUUAAAGAUUUUAUUGUACUUUUGUGGUAGUGAGGAUUAAACUCAGGAGACAUUGCGCUAUAUCCCCAGCCCUUUUUAUGCUGCUUGAGAUAGGGUCUCGCUAAGUUGUCCAGGCUGGCCUAGAACUUUCGAUCCUCCUGCUUCAGCCUCCUGAGUCACUGAGAUUACUGGUGUGUGUCUUCAUGCCUAGUACACUAAAAUAUUAUCUUUAAGGAGACAGCAGCAUUUCACAGAGUUGUUUUUCCUUAAAAUAAUCCUUACAGGGGUUGAGGCAUUGUUCCGUGGUUGAAUACUUGCCUAGCAUACCGUAAGGGUCUGGGUUGAAUCCUAUUGUCAAAAAUAAAGUAAUUUUUAUAAAAAUAGUAGCAUUAUAAAAUAGAAUCCUUAAUAUAAG
rnacentral:lncRNA from 1 species